CUAUACAUGACUCUGCGCAUAUCAAUAAGCGGAGGAAAAGAAACUAACAAGGAUUCCCUAGUAACGGCGAGUGAAGCGGGAAGAGCUCAAAUUUGAAAUCUUCAAGGGUUUUCCCUUGACGAAUUGUAGUUUAAAGAAGUGUUUUCUGCUGAAGUUUUGGUAAAAGUUCUUUGGAAUAGGACAUCAUAGAGGGUGAGAAUCCCUGUAUUUGACCAUUAUUUUCAGCUUUGUGAUACACUUUCAAAGAGUCGGAUUGUUUGGGAAUGCAGUCCAAAAUGGGUGGUAAAUUUCAUCUAAAGCUAAAUAUUGGCGAGAGACCGAUAGCGAACAAGUACCGUGAGGGAAAGAUGAAAAGAACUUUGAAAAGAGAGUUAAACAGUACGUGAAAUUGUCAAAAGGGAAGCGUUUGACACCAGUGUUGUUUUUCUGAAAAUCAAUUAAAGAACUGUUUAUGCUAAGCUUGUUUAGACUUUAUCAGCUAAUCUGUUUAGUUUUGAGCUUUUCUUUAAUGCACUUUUCAGUUAACAAGUCAACAUCAAUUUCUUUUGCUGUAAAAAAGCUUGAGGAAGGUGGCUUGAGAUUCGUCUUAAGUGUUUAUAGCCUCUUGCCUAUGCAGUCGGAGAGAUUGAGGUCUGCAGCGUAGAUCCUUCGGGGCUAAAUGCAUUUGUGCUAAGUUAUAGCAUUUUAUAGACAACUUGUUGACUAUGAUUUGUCUUGUAGCUUACUCGCUUAUGUUAUUUUACCUACGCUUAGGAUGUUGACAGCAGUAUAGACUGU
rnacentral:rRNA from 1 species